GUACAAGGCACAGCUCCUGAGAAAACUAAUCACCUAGUUUCUUGACUGUGGCUGUGAGUCCAGUCCCCUAGCAAACAUCAAACAGGAACUACACGAAUUAGCAACUGCUGUUCAAUCCAGAAGAAACCACAAGGCUCACCACCCAGCCUGGAUCCUCAGAAGCAGCAAGAAACCGCAGGAGCCUCAGGAGAGGUUCUUUGGCCAGUUUCUCUCUAUGAUCUCACCACAAUCGAAGCUCAGCGACACAGUGUAAGGCGCACCAAUACAUGCAUGCUGUCGGUGAAGAACAGUGAGGCGGAGCAAAGCAAACCAAAGCACCCACUAUCUGUGAGGUCACAUUGAUAUUCUUUCUAAACAUUGCAUGUCCUUUCAUGUGUCUGCUUUAGCAAUAUAUCCUUUUACCUGUGUGUCCCGGCAAAACAUCAUUUGACAUAACAGACUCUCCAAAGAAGCCGCAAGUUUCCACUUCACCCGGCAUUGGUUUUUACUUCGGUGAUUUGAUACAGUUGCCAAGGCUGGUCAUGAAUUUGGGAUUCUUCUGCCUCGGCCUCCAGAGGUUACAAGCCUACGCUGGUUUUUAUUCUAAGGAAAAGGAAUAAGAGAAAAGAAACUCCAACAGUCUCCCUGAGAAGCCACGAGCUGCUGUCUCCACCAUGUCCACUCUCCUGCCUGCCCCAUAGUCCUGAUGAUUCCUGGGCUAUGUGCAAAUAGGAAUGAGUUUUUAAG
rnacentral:lncRNA from 1 species